UAAGUAGGGUGCAAGCGUUAAUCGGAAUUACUGGGCGUAAAGCGUGCGCAGGCGGUUUUGUAAGUCUGAUGUGAAAUCCCCGGGCUCAACCUGGGAAUUGCAUUGGAGACUGCAAGGCUAGAAUCUGGCAGAGGGGGGUAGAAUUCCACGUGUAGCAGUGAAAUGCGUAGAGAUGUGGAGGAACACCGAUGGCGAAGGCAGCCCCCUGGGUCAAGAUUGACGCUCAUGCACGAAAGCGUGGGGAGCAAACAGG
rnacentral:rRNA from 1 species